CUCCAAUGGAAACAAAGCCACACUCCUCUUCGUUUUAGUGGGUGAUUCAGAUUGCUGAUUUGCAACUUCUUGUUUGUUUUGGGACCAUGCCUGGGAGCAUCACAGAUGGAUCUGCGUGCUGCUGUGCUAGAAGUUCAAGAAAUUCCAGGGAUUGGGAGCCAAACAUCUGUGUUUCCCCUUGGGAGGUGCCAAACCGUGUUCCUCCUGUGAUCUGGGCAAGGUA
rnacentral:lncRNA from 12 species